rnacentral:rRNA from 1 species
AUUGAACGCUGGCGGCAGGCCUAACACAUGCAAGUCGAGCGGGGUUUUCGGACCUAGCGGCGGACGGGUGAGUAAUGCGUAGGAAGCUACCCGAUAGAGGGGGAUACCAGUUGGAAACGACUGUUAAUACCGCAUAAUGUCUACGGACCAAAGUGUGGGACCUUCGGGCCACAUGCUAUCGGAUGCGCCUACGUGGGAUUAGCUAGUUGGUGGGGUAAUGGCUCACCAAGGCGACGAUCCCUAGCUGGUUUGAGAGGAUGAUCAGCCACACUGGGAAUGAGACACGGCCCAGACUACUGCAGGAGGCAGCAGUGGGGAAUAUUGGACAAUGGGCGCAAGCCUGAUCCAGGCAUGCCGCGUGUGUGAAAAAGGCCUUCGGGUUGUAAAGCACUUUCAGCGAGAAGGAAGGGGUUGUAGUUAAUAGCUGCAACCUUUGACGUUACUCGCAGAAGAAGCACCGGCUAACUCUGUGCCAGCCGCCGCUGUAAUAC